AGCAGCCGCGGUAAUUCCAGCUCCAAUAGCGUAUAUUAAAGUUGUUGCAGUUAAAAAGCUCGUAGUUGAAUUUCGGGAUUGACACAUCGGUCGUGCCUUAAGGGGUAUGAACUGGUGUAGUCAAUUUCUCACCUUCUGGAGAACCGCGAUGUCCUUAAUUGGGUGCCGCGAGGAACCAGGACCUUUACUUUGAAAAAUUAGAGUGUUUAAAGCAGGCAUUUUUGCUUGAAUACAUUAGCAUGGAAUAAUAAAAUAGGACGGCAUGAUUCUAUUUUGUUGGUUUCUAGGAUCACCGUAAUGAUUAAUAGGGAUAGUUGGGGGCAUUAGUAUUCAAUUGUCAGAGGUGAAAUUCUUGGAUUUAUUGAAGACUAACUACUGCGAAAGCAUUUGCCAAGGAUGUUUUCAUUAAUCAAGAACGAAGGUUAGGGGAUCGAAGACGAUCAGAUACCG
rnacentral:rRNA from 1 species